CGACGCCUGCUCCCAGUCACCAUGGUGGCACACAACAGAGCGCAGUGGCGGCGUAUAUAGCUGCACUUCCCGGGGCUGUUGACGGUAAAAACCGCACCAUGUUUUGUCCGUGAGUCCGUCUACCUCUUCAAGAAGAAACCAUCACCAUGUUGUCGUCUGGUUAGCGGACUUUUCUUCCCUCGCUCCUCGGAACGUCUCCUGGUCGCUAGCAAAGUGGUGCAGACACAAGAAUGGCUGUGCAGAACACCGCCUGGCACAGACGCACACUUUGGACUUAGGAGCCUCUUAAGACAUCCUUCGUCCACAAGUUGACGCCUUGGAGUUUAACUAAGUUCUUCUUUCGAAGGAAUUUAUUGCUAAUCCACUUCCUGGCGACGUCUUGCAAACAAUGGCGUCCUAUGUGGAUAACAGCUUUCGGGAAGCGGUGAUGAUGAAGCCGGCGGAGAGGACGCAACAGGACCUGGAGAUUGUCUACUCCUAUCUUCACGGGAUGGAGGCCUUGUCCAACCUGCGUGAGCACCAGCUGAGGAUCAUGUGUGAGACGGUGCGUUAUGAGCGGCACGAAGCCAAUGAAGUCCUGUACUACCCAGACGACAUCGGCAGCUGCUGGUACAUCCUAUUAUCGGGAUCCGUGUUCAUCAAGGAGUCCAUGUUCCUGCCCAGAAGCAGUUUUGGAAAGCGAUCGGCAGGCAGCCUAAGACGUGGAUGUGAGUGUAUUGUCCUGGAACCCUCAGAGAUGAUUGUGGUGGACUACAUGGAUGAAAAUGAGGAGUACUUCCAGCGACAAGCCUCCCACCGACAGUCCCGCCGCCGCUUCCGGAAGAUCAACCAGAAGGGGGAGAGGCAGACCAUCAUUGACACGGUGGAUCCGUACCCCGCUGGAAAGCCGCCCAUAGCCCGGGGGUAUCACACGGAAUGCAAUAAAACUCAGCUUCCCGCAGACUUCAGCAGACUUCACCUGGCUGACGGCUUGCACCCACAGGUGACCCACGUUUCCUCCAGCCACUCAGGAUGUAGUAUCACCAGCGACUCCGGAAGCAGCAGCCUGUCAGAUAUUUACCAGGCCACAGAGAACGAGCCUGGCGACAUGGACCUGAGCGGCCUGCCGGAGACAGCCGUCGACUCCGAGGAGGACGACGAUGAGGAGGACAUCGAGCGAGCGUCGGACCCACUCAUGAGUCGGGAUAUCGUGCGGGACUGCCUGGAGAAGGACCCGAUGGACAGGACGGACGAUGACAUAGAGCAAUUACUGGAGUUCAUGCAUCAACUACCGGCCUUCGCCAACAUGACCAUGUCUGUGAGGCGGGAGCUCUGUGCCGUCAUGGUGUUCGCCGUGGUGGAGCGUGCUGGCACCAUUGUUCUCAAUGAUGGCGAGGAGCUUGACUCGUGGUCAGUCAUCCUGAAUGGCUCGGUGGAGGUGACGUACCCUGAUGGGCGGACAGAGAUUUUGUGUAUGGGGAACAGCUUUGGGGUGUCACCAACCAUGGAGAAGGAGUACAUGAAGGGCGCCAUGAAGACCAAGGUGGACGACUGCCAGUUUGUGUGCAUCGCCCAGCAGGAUUACUGCUGCAUCCUCAACCAGGUGGAGAAGAACAUGCAGAAAGUGGAAGAAGAAGGCGAGAUCGUCAUGGUGAAGGAGCACCGAGAACUUGACCGCACCGGGACCAGGAAAGGACACAUUGUCAUAAAGGGCACAUCGGAGCGUCUCACAAUGCACCUCGUGGAAGAACACUCAGUGGUGGACCCUACCUAUAUCGAGGACUUCCUGUUGACCUACAGGACUUUCCUCUCCAGCCCCAUGGUCGUGGGCAAGAAGCUCUUGGAGUGGUUCCAUGACCCAAGUCUCAGGGACAAGGUCACACGAGUCGUGCUGCUGUGGGUGAACAAUCACUUCAAUGACUUUGAGGGGGACCCUGCAAUGACUCACUUUCUGGAAGAGUUUGAAAACAACCUGGAGAGAGAAAAAAUGUGCGGGCACCUCCGACUGUUAAACAUAGCGUGCGCUGCUAAGGCCAAGCCGCGGCUGGUGACGCUGACCAAGCCGUCCAGAGAUGCGCCGCUGGCUUUCAGCCUCCUUGGUGGACAGGAGAAAGGCUUCCGCAUAUUUAUUGACGCCGUGGAGCCCGGGAGCAAGGCAGCAGAGGCCGGCCUUAAACGGGGAGAUCAGAUUCUGGAGGUCAAUGGUCAAAAUUUUGAGAAUGUCCAACUCAGCAAAGCCAAUGAGAUUCUGAAGAACAACACCCACUUGUCCAUAACUGUGAAAACCAAUCUGUUAGUUUUUAAAGAUCUGCUAACCAGGCCCGAGCAGGACCACGAUGUGGACGGCGAGGAGGAGCACGACAGGAAGAACGGUGCACCCCACCUCCCCAAGAUCGGGGACAUAAAGAAGGCCAGCCGGUACUCCAUACCUGACCUGGCGGUGGAUGUGGAGCAGGUGAUGGGCCUGGAGAAGGCCAGCAAGAAGGCCAAGACGAAUACUGUGGGGGGACGCAACAAGCUCAAGAAGAUCUUCGACAAAACACUCACCAGCAUUCUUCCCCCUAAACCGUACAACGACGUGUGCGUGGGCCAGUCGCAGGAUGACAGCAUUUUGGGCAUGAAGCAGUCCAAACAGAUCCCACCGGCGCUGCCCGUCAGCGGCAACCUGUCGUCUUCAAACCCGGACCUCCUGCAGUCCCACCACCGCAUUCUGGACUUCAACAAUCAGCCUGACAUGUCAGACCAGGUGUUGCGCGUCUUCAAAGCCGAUCAGCAGUCCCGCUACAUCAUGAUUGGCAAGGACACCACGGCUAAGGAGGUGGUCGUCCAGGCCAUCAGGGAGUUUGCCUUGACGGCGGCGCCCGAGGCGUACUCGCUAUGCGAGGUGUCCGUCACCCCUGAGGGCGUCAUCAAGCAGCGGCGGCUACCAGACCAGCUGUCCAAGCUCGCAGACAGGAUACAGCUAAGUGGAAGAUACUACUUGAAGAGCAACAUGGAGACGGAGACGCUAUGCUCCGACGAGGACGCCCAGGACUUGCUCCGCGAGGGCCAGAUCUCCCUGCUGCAGCUCAGCACGGUGGAGGUGGCCACGCAGCUUUCCAUGCGCGCUUUCGAACUCUUCUGCGCCAUCGAGCCCACCGAGUACAUCGACGACCUGUACAAGCUGCGAUCCAAGGCGGGCUCGGCCAGCCUCAAGCGCUUCGAGGAGGCCAUCAAUCACGAGACCUUCUGGGUGGCCACCGAGGUUACUCGCGAGCCCAACCAGCUCAAGCGAAUGAAGACGGUCAAGCACUUCAUCAAGAUUGCACUGCACUGCCGCGAGUGCAAAAACUUCAACUCCAUGUUUGCCAUCAUCAGCGGUUUGAACCUGGCACCUGUCUCCAGACUGCGGGGAACAUGGGAGAAACUUCCCAGCAAGUACGAAAAGCUUUUUGGUGACCUGCAAGACCUCUUUGACCCCUCGAGGAACAUGGCCAAGUACAGGAAUGUCCUCAACAAUCAGAACCUGCAGCCGCCCAUCAUCCCUCUUUUCCCCGUCAUCAAGAAGGACCUCACCUUUUUACACGAAGGUAACGACUCCAAAGUGGACGGCCUUGUGAACUUUGAGAAGCUGAGGAUGAUCGCCAAAGAAAUCCGUCAUGUCGGUCGCAUGGCCUCGGUCAACAUGGACCCCGCCCUCAUGUUCAGGACCCGGAAGAAGAAGUGGAGAAGUUUAGGCAGCUCUCUGAGUCAGGGCAGCGCAAACGCAGCCGUGCUGGACGUCAACCAGACGGGAGGCCACAAGAAGCGAGUGCGCCGCAGCUCCUUCCUCAACGCCAAGAAGCUCUAUGAAGACGCCCAGAUGGCUCGCAAGGUCAAGCAGUAUCUGUCCAACCUGAGCCUGGAGACCAACGAGGAGAGCCUGCAGACGUUCUCGCUGCAGUGCGAGCCCUCCAUCAGCACGCUGCCUAAGAACGCUGGCGGCAAACGGCCGGACACAUCCCCUGUGGUGUCCAGAGCAGCCAGCCAGCAGAGAGGCCAGCUCGCUAAAGGGAACCAGGCUCUCCAGGUUCCUGCCGUGGCCCUUUACCCAUCCCGGAAGAAAGUGCCCGUCAAGGAUCUUCCUCCUUUUGGAACCAGUUCUCCUCAGUCGCUGAAGAAGAUCCUGUCUCUGUCGGAGGAGGCCAGCGAGAGGCAUCGGAGGCAUCCAGAGGACACGGCGUCUAACGCCUCCUCUCAGCUCUCCUCGCCGCCCACCUCCCCCCAGAGCUCACCCAAGAAGGGUUACAACCGCAUGGGCGACGCCUACUCGGACUCGGGUCACAGCGAGAUCUCGUCGCGCUCCAGCUUGGUCAGCAACUUGUCCUUCGACAUGGCCCACGACGAGAGGAGGCUGCGACACUCGGGCGGAGUCGGGGAUUCGCACGUGGGAGCGCGGCUAGAACGACGAGCCACCACCGACCCUGACCAGUACAGCCUGGGGUCUUACUCAUCGAUGCAGGACUGUCGGGGAAUUUACGCCGGCUGUCCCACGGUGCUCUCCUCUCCCAGCUCUGAAGAGCUGACCCAGGAUCAGGGCGACCGGGUCUCCCUGGACGCCGCCGACAGUGGCAGAGGCUCGUGGACGUCGUGCUCCUCCGGCUCCCACGACAACAUCCAGACCAUGCAGCAGGGCCGCAGCUGGGAGACGCUGGCCUUCGGAGGGGGGCUCCCCCCCGAGGCCCUACUCGGGGGACCUGCCGCGUUGUGGGCAGCCCAGGCUCGGGGGAGCUGGGCUUCGGCCAGCUCGUCGUCGUCCUCGGCCGCCUACUGGGGGGAGGACUCUGAGGGGGACACAGGCACCAUCAAGAGGAGGGGCGGCAAGGACGUCAACGCCGACCCGGAGACGAGUAGCAUCACCUCCACCGGGUCGGAGGAGGCCAAGCAGAUCGGCCGGCCGUCGCCAUCGCCCAUCCCCUCUGGCUGCAAAGGUCUAGUCUCCCGGAAAGAGGGGCGCUACCGCGAGCCGCCCCCGACCCCGCCCGGCUACACGGCCCUGACCAUCUCCGACCUCGCCGACGGCCAGCACCCGCCCUCGCCGGCCCCCCCGUCCACCUCUGCUAACAGCUCCACCACCACCACGGCGCCAUCGCGCCGGCCGCCCGACUACACCACGGCGCUGCAGCGCUCGCGCAUGGUGACGCAGUCGCCCGACUCCCAAGCCCACCAGCAGGCGGCCAAGCAGAGGGGGGGCUGUGGGGGCCCUCAGCGCACACGCUCGCCCGCCGAGGAGCACGGGGCCAAGGAGGAGGAGGAAGAGGAGGGUGAGUCCUUGUCUCACAAACUUGUCGCUCUGAGGAAGCCGAGGGCGCAGCGUGCACCCCACACCCCCCGACCAUGACAGAGUGUGUACGCAGAGAGGGGAGGUCUAAAAACGGCAGCCCCCCCCCCCCAAAAAAAUGGCAGACGACGAGCAGGUGUCGGCGGUGUGAGGCGCCGCGCCCGGGCUGGACGGACGUACGAGUGGGCGGGGCUUAGAGAAGGACAGAGGGUUACGCACGUGCCUGCUCUGCCUCCUGAUUGGUGGACUCCUCCUCCUCUUCCUCCCCCCGCCUUAAAGCAUCAUGGGGGGUUGGGCGGCCCUGCAUGCAAAAAAUCCAACAUAUACUGUGAAGAAGAAGAAGAAGAAGAAGAAGAAGAAGAGGUCAAACGCUCGGCACUUUGGAUUUGUAUGAAUACACAAGACUCGCACGUGAAGGAUUACAAGCAGUGGAUGUGAUGUUUGCACUCCUUUUUCGCCAGUCAAGUGUUUGAACCCAGUAUUAGCACACACACACACACACACAUUUUCUUGUAUUUGUUACCUUCUUGAGACCUCCGAAAAAUGCCCCCCCUCUAGUAUUAUAAUAAAAGU